UCCUUUAUAAAGUGAUCAAGAAAUUUUUUGAUUCUGUCAUAAACAAAAAAUUGAUUCUUGCUUACAAAAACGGAAAAAUAUGAAUAUAAUUUUUAAAUGUGUGUAUCAUAUGAUCGUCAUUCUUCUUCUAUUACUUGUUGCAACUGAAGCUGGCACUGGCAAUAUUCGCCAGUCAUGUGAAUUUGAUGUUGAUUGUGAAAAUAAAUAUUGUCCUCCAUCUCAUGAUGGGAAGUGCGUUUGGGAGGAGGAGGGGGAGGAGGGGGAGGAGGAGUACUGUGGUUGCAUCCCAAGAUAAAAUUCAAUAUACUUGAAUGUUAUAUCUAAGGCUACAGUAUUAUUAGCUUGUUAGAAUGUUGUUAUUAUAUCCUCGUGAGUUUAGCUCAGUUGGUAAGAACAAUGCAUAAUAUAUGUAAGUUCUGGGAUUCGAAUUCCAGACACCACCAAAAAAAAUGUUGUUGUUAUUCUUAGGAUUUCUAUCAAAUUUUCGUUUGUAUUUCUUUGAGCUUUCAAUUUCUUCAACAAUAUCAAUAGUUUUUAAUUAUAUUUGUUAUACCUUUUUUUUUUUUUAAAAGACGUGAUUUUGUAGGAGUUCCGGAUUACUAUUGUUGUAAGGGUUGGAGUAUCCCUAUACUCCCUUCGAAAAAAUAUAUUUUAUUUCAUUAA